CAUUUCUUUGGAGUAAUAUAUCUAGAGUAGAAUUGCUGGGUCAUAUGGCAACUCCAUUUUAACAUUUUGAGGACCUGCCGGAGGCACAUCAUAUAGUGCCUUUUUCAACUUUGUAUUAUGGAAGUUUCCUACCAUACUGAAAAUGAGAAAGCACCCUGUACCCAUCAUCCAGGUUCAACAACAAUCAACCUUUUGCCAGUCUUGUUUCACCUGCCUUCCCUCCUCCACCGUUGUUUCCCACUGAGUAGUUCGAAGCCAGUUCAUACACUGCACUUUAUGCCAUUAACUUGGCUGAGAGGUCAACAUUUCCUUUCAUCCCAAACCUUCAGGCCAAGUCUCCUAUACCCAUAUCCUCGUGUGGAUGGAAUUUGGGGACAGUGGAGGAAUUGCGGCAUAGUCUAGAGUGAGCCAGCGUGGGGUGGGAAAGGAACGCUCCUGAGUGAAGCAAGUCUAGCUACAGGAUUUGCAAAAUGAAAAUGUGGAGCCCUUUGUUCAGAAAUUACUAAGAAGUUCAAGAUAACAACAGUAGAACGUCAAACUUAACGUAGACCCUGUACAACAGCACAAGUCAUGUGCCCGUGAGGCCAGCAAAAGGGCGCCCAAGCAGAACUGAGAACUGAUUCAUUGGCUGCAGGAAUUUCGAGCUUUGGGUGCCUAGGAGAGACACAAGCAUCCCUCACCCCCAAUCUCUGGAGAGUUGGGUCUCUCAUGGCAUGUGGGACAGCGUUUAAGUCUGUUCCAUUGGAAUCUCCAAAAAUAAGAUGACCCCAGCUGACAUGUGGGUUAUAAGUACUUUUUAAAAAUAGCCAUUUGUCUUAAGCCUUCUUCCCUAAGAACCUGCAGUUGUUUUAUUUGGCCUCACCAUUUUGUCCUGGACUCUUUGAGUGUACCGUGAUAUCACGGCAAAUGACAGGGCUGCAGGACAGAGGUCUGCUGGUGAGCAAACAAUCCAGAGCAGCAGCAGGACCAGGGAUGCCCAUUAGAGGCAGGUGGCCAUGGCAGACACUGGCAACCAUCAUGGCACCCAAUCCCUCCCAGCUCAGACAGAGCUCCAUUAUCCUUCUCAAAGGAUAGCCUCCACCAAGCAAAUGAAACUUAUUUCUCGUGCUUAUCUAGACUUUCAACCCAAGAAUUCACCUAGAGAUUCAGAGCCUGCAGUUUGUGUUGGGAUGACACUGCAAGGAUGCACUUACACUAACGGAACCUUGUCACGAAGGGGAACGCAACACGACUGAGAAGGAGGGAGAGAGUGGAAGAGAGGGACUCACUGAAGAGAGCAGAUAAGGACCUUGCAGCGCCUCCUGUUCUCUGUGGCAUGUUCAAUGAAUGAGUGAACAUUCAUUCAUUCGUCCAAUUAUUUGAGGACUUAUACAUAAGAGACUGAAUACCGGGCAUGAGCAAUAUAGUAGUCAACAAGACAGACACAGUUCCUACCCUUAGGGGCAGGAGAGGCAAUCAUAAACCAAAGAGGAAGAAAACAUUUUACAUUGGAUUAAAAUAAUAUAACAACAACGGCAAAAAAACCCACAACAGGUCAGAGUAAAUUCGGCUGGCAGCUUUGGGGUUUAUAGACAGUGGAUCUUAAAGCAAAGCCCAACUCAGGAUUUUGGCAAUUCUCAGCAGAGUGAAUGUGGAAGCAGCACAACCAGGAGAAGGCUCCGGAGGAGCUAUUGCCCAGUGCCCUUCACCAAGGUGGCAUCAUUCACACGCCCAUCAACAAUGCACAAGUGAGGGUGUCUGUUUGCAACACCCUCGCCCACCUUGGCAAGGAUGCAGCAUGUCAGGAGGAAGCAAAUCUCAAACUCAGAUAAACUUGCCAGUAAUUUCAGCGAAUGAAACAUGGAACGUGUCGAGGCCAGAGGAUGGCAAACACUCCAGUUUUGAUAAAAGGAGGUCUGCUCGGCUUGGAAUCCUCCAUCCUGCUAGUCAGCAGACGCAAAGACUUAUCCAGAGAGGGGCUGAUGAAUUGAGAAAACAGAAAUGAGGCCAAUCCCGUGACUCAACGGUGACCCAUGAAUGACGCUCAAUAAACAGGGAUCGAAUGGACCAACCAACACUAUCAUCACCUCUGACUGGGCCUCCAUCUGAAAUUGCAGAAACCCUCUAUAGCUGCCGUGACCUUCAGUUCCCAUUUCAGACAGGCUGGUAUCCAUGAUGUCACAUGAUAGAAGAUGAUUCCAGAGAAAGACUGGCCAAGAGGCUCUUGGAGGGAGCUAUGGCAGACAAGACUGGGUGUGGUUUUUCUUUAAUUAUUGUACCUGUUUUGUCUGUUCUUUCUUGGCUCUGUUCACAUCCCCACCCCAGCACCAGUGCAGGAAAGCAAAACAAAAACAAAACAUUAUCGCAGAGUUUGAGACAAGAUGGCUGGCUGGUUCCCUUCUCUGCUUGUAAUUAAUGCCAAAAAUGUUCAUGACUUGCCUUGGCCACAAAGGUAAAUAAAAUCAGGCAGUCUGAUUAUUUGGCUACUAAUUUCCUUCUUCGUUUUUUUUUUUUUUUUCCUCCCCGUGUCCUUAAAUUAAUUCCAGAGUUCCUCCAGAUUUCUCGUUGCUAAGCUAUAAAAUUCCAAUUUUUCAGCGCCCAUGCUGAUUGGCAAGGAGGCUCUGGGCAGUUCCAAUCAGAAGCAGGUUGCUGAAAGGAACAUCCACAUUGUAGCUUGCCCUGGGGUAUUGGAAUUUUCUGCCUGAUGUUAUGAACCAUCAAAGUCUUUGUCUAACUGUGCAAAACCCGUUCUCUUGAUCUUGUCUGCCUCUCUCUGGAGUGCAGGCUGUUGGGGGGAUGCCAGAGGUCCUGGAAUUUCCCACUGGUCCUGGAGGAAUAGGGAGUCCCUGGGUCUCCAGGUUGGGGUCAGCGACAGAAAUGCCCAUGGCCUGUCCACGGUUGACCAAAUAUGACAGCAUGGUGCCCUGCCAUGGGCUGGGACAUGCCUCAAUCCUCCCCUGACUGACCUCUCCCGUGCCAUCUCUUAAGCCUGGUGAAAGGCUGAAGGGGGUUGAGGAAAAGUAGGUGCCAUUGGAUGUGGGGUUGUUGUGGAGAGGCUGCACUUGUAAAGGACUUUAAAACAUGUAGAUGGUAAGGGCGCCGUGGAGGGCCAUUCUGGUGUUUCACCUCCAGAAUCCUGAUGCAAGCAUCCACCGUGAACUGAGCUCCAACUUUG